ACCAAAUUUCUGCCUUUUGGCUAAGAUCAAAUGUAGUAUCUGUUCUUUUUAAUUAGAUUUUUAGUCAUUGAGCCGAUAAUACCCUGAGAUCUUCAGGGUUAUUUUCUCAGACUUUAAAAAGCUCCCUCUUGAGCUACAGAAGACAUUAUACAGCUGUUUUCACAGGUUGAGUAGUACUCCAC